rnacentral:misc_RNA from 1 species
GUGCUUGUUUGUCCUUCAAAAGAUCAAUGCUUUCAUCAUUCUUAAAGUUGGCAGCGAGCCAAUCAACAACUCUCUUAUCAAAGUCAUCACCACCCAAAUGUGUAUCUCCUGAAGUAGAAAGCACUUCAAAAACUCCAUCACCAACCUCAAGCACAGAAACAUCAAAAGUGCCACCACCAAGGUCAAAUACUAGGAUGGUUUCAUUGUUCUUCUUUUCAAACCCAUAUGCCAAUGAAGCAGCAGUGGGUUCAUUGAUUAUUCGAAGAACAUCCAGCCCAGCAAUUCGGCCAGCAUCUUUUGUCGCUGUCCUUUGGGAAUCAUUGAAGUAAGCAGGCACUGUGACCACAGCUUUGGUCACUUUAUCAUUCAAAAACUUCGAGGCAUCGUCCACAAGCUUCCUCAAAAC